rnacentral:rRNA from 1 species
GAUGAACGCUGGCGGCGUGCCUAAUACAUGCAAGUCGAGCGAACGGACGAGAAGCUUGCUUCUCUGAUGUUAGCGGCGGACGGGUGAGUAACACGUGGAUAACCUACCUAUAAGACUGGGAUAACUUCGGGAAACCGGAGCUAAUACCGGAUAAUAUUUUGAACCGCAUGGUUCAAUAGUGAAAUGCGGUCUUGCUGUCACUUAUAGAUGGAUCCGCGCUGCAUUAGCUAGUUGGUAAGGUAACGGCUUACCAAGGCAACGAUGCAUAGCCGACCUGAGAGGGUGAUCGGCCACACUGGAACUGAGACACGGUCCAGACUCCUACGGGAGGCAGCAGUAGGGAAUCUUCCGCAAUGGGCGAAAGCCUGACGGAGCAACGCCGCGUGAGUGAUGAAGGUCUUCGGAUCGUAAAACUCUGUUAUUAGGGAAGAACAUAUGUGUAAGUAACUGUGCACAUCUUGACGGUACCUAAUCAGAAAGCCACGGCUAACUACGUG